CUUGAUGUACCCUUCCAGCUUUUACCAACAAUUAUUUUUCCUAAUCUGUCCCGGUUGUGAGACUCAUUUUACGUCACUCCAGAUAAGUCAGUCUGGCAUAGGACGCGAGAGCCGUAUGGUGAGGAAGAGCGUGUGGAUGUGAGGAGGAAUAGGCAGUGGGGAUGAAGGAUAAGCGGUAGAAUGGGGAAUAAGAGUAAUGAGAGUAAGGAGAAAUGAGUGGUGGUAAUAUUUGAUAACGUGUAAAUGAGGAACGCCGGAAAAUUGAGAUAAAAGAUGAUUCUCAAAAAUGAUUUUGUCACUUCAGGAUGGAAUUUCAGUGGUCGAUAGCAAUAAGAGAAGAUGGUGCAAAAUAGAUAGAUAGAUGAAUGUGUAUAGAGACAGA